GAGCUCUCCCAUCAAAAGAUCCUCUCCACCGUCCCGGGGCUGCUCCGCCCAUCUCCGCCCGCCCUCGAGUAGGACUCGGCCCGCCCAACAGCCUCUCCACGCCGGCCUUCUGGAGCUGCGCCUCCCACCAUAGCUAGUCAUGAGAGCUUACAACCUAUGAGGACCCACAUUCUUCCUGUAUAUCCUUGACGCCACAGCCUCCCCGCACCCUCCCGUUGUUGAUGGUUUGGGUCUGCCUACCGAGGGAGAAGGGGAUGAUGGCUGCCGCUCCUUCUCUCGAGCCCUUGCCGCGAUGAAGCCGUGGGAGGAGAGGGGCACGUGCACGGUGGACCUGCUCCGAGCCCCUCAAGCGACCCAUCUUCAAGGUGAUCACUUCAUCCACAUGAGGAGGUGCAUGGGAGAGGCUGGUGGUGCGAAAGGCAGGGAUGUGCCUGCCGAGCCCGAUGACGGGGACGGGUCCGGGGAAAUUUUCAUUGGCGAUGUAGCCCGGAAGACAACCGAAGGUAGAUAUGAGUAAUUCAUGUAGGUUGUUUUGCUAAGGAUGGGACAAUUUUAGAUUUGUGGCGAACGAUGUGGGUGGGUCAGUUGUGUAUGCAACAACAAUUCUAAAACGAUGAACUGUUCUUCUUCCUCUUUCAAGUUGUGUCGCUUUAAUUAA